GAUGGAGCAACACCGCGUGAGUGAAGAAGGGUUUCGGCUCGUAAAGCUCUGUUGUUAGAGAAGAACGUGCGUGAGAGCAACUGUUCACGCAGUGACGGUAUCUAACCAGAAAGUCACGGCUAACUACGUGCCAGCAGCCGCGGUAAUACGUAGGUGGCAAGCGUUAUCCGGAUUUAUUGGGCGUAAAGCGAGCGCAGGCGGUUUGAUAAGUCUGAUGUGAAAGCCUUUGGCUUAACCAAAGAAGUGCAUCGGAAACUGUCAGACUUGAGUGCAGAAGAGGACAGUGGAACUCCAUGUGUAGCGGUGGAAUGCGUAGAUAUAUGGAAGAACACCAGUGGCGAAGGCGGCUGUCUGGUCUGCAACUGACGCUGAGGCUCGAAAGCAUGGGUAGCGAACAGGAUUAGAUACCCUGGUAGUCCAUGCCGUAAACGAUGAGUGCUAGGUGUUGGAGGGUUUCCGCCCUUCAGUGCCGCAGCUAACGCAUUAAGCACUCCGCCUGGGGAGUACGACCGCAAGGUUGAAACUCAAAGGAAUUGACGGGGGCCCGCACAGCGGUGGAGCAUGUGGUUUAAUUCGAAGCUACGCGAAGAACCUUACCAGGUCUUGACAUCUUGCGCCAACCCUAGAGAUAGGGCGUUUCCUUCGGGAACGCAAUGACAGGUGGUGCAUGGUCGUCGUCAGCUCGUGUCGUGAGAUGUUGGGUUAAGUCCCGCAACGA
rnacentral:rRNA from 2 species